rnacentral:lncRNA from 1 species
UCGAAGUGUUCAGAAGACUAAGAGUUAUGAUGAAUGUAGAUAGCUUAGACACAAUGAAUUAGGGGUUGUGUUGAAUUGUAAUUCCUUGUGUCGAAGCAAGUUGCUCGACAGAAGUAAGGAAGUGUCGAACCACCGAGUGUGUUGAGUAGUGUUAGCUAUUUUGAACUUUAUAAUUUUGGGCUUUUAUAGUUUUUGGCUUUGGCUUGAGGUUCAAGUUAACCUAAAUCUAAAAAUAGAGGGAGUAACCCUUAUUUUUAAAACAAUGAGGUGAAUAGAGUAUUUAUAACAUUGUACUCAUAGUAUUUUGCAGUUG